rnacentral:lncRNA from 1 species
UUGUAAUUCAACGGCUCAAACACAGGUGUAUGUGGCAGGUGUAACUGAUGUGAAAUGGCUAGCUAGUUAGCGGUGGUGCGCGCUAAUAGCGUUUCAACCGGUGACGUCACUCGCUCUGUGACCUUAAGUAGUUGUUCCCCUUGCGCUGCAAGGGCCGCGGCUUUUGUGGCAUGAUGGGUAACGAUGCUUCGUGGGGUGUCAGUUGUUGAUGUGCGCAGAGGGUCCCUGGUUCGAGCCCAGGUUGGGGCGAGGAGAGGGACGGAAGCUAUACUGUUACAUUGAUCCUGUUGACCCGGAUCACUGGUUGCUGCGGAAAAAGGAGGAGGUCAAAAGGGGGAUGAGUAUAACCAAUGUGAAAUGGCUAGCUAGUUAGCGGUGGUGCGCGCUAAUAGCGUUUCAAUCGGUGACGUCACUCGCUCUGCGACCUUAAGUAGUUGUUCCCCUUGCGCUGCAAGGGCCGUGGCUUUUGUGGCACGAUGGGUAACGAUGCUUCGUGGGUGUCAGUUGUUGAUGUGCGAAGAGGGUCCCUGGUUCGAGCCCAGGUUGGGGCGAGGAGAGGGACAGAAGCUAUACUGUUACACAGGGUCUACAGUCAGUCACGGAUUACAAAAGAAAACCAGCCUCGUUGCGGAAAUCGACGUCUUACUCCCAGACAAAUUAAACAAUUUCUUUGCCCACUUUUAGAACAAUACAGUGCCACUGACACGGCCCGCUGCCAAAGCCUAUGGGCUCUCCUUCUCCGUGGCCAACGUGAGUAAGACAUUUAAAUCUGUUUACCGAUGCUUGGCUGCUGGCCCAGACGGCAUCCCUAGCCGCGUCCUCAGAGCAUGCACAGACCAGCUGGCUGGUGUGUUGAUGGACAUAUUCAACCAAUCCCUAUCCCAGUCUGUUGUCCCCAGAUGCUUCAAGGUGGCCACCAUUGUUCCAGUUCCCAAGAAAGCUAAGGUCCACUGACGAUGCAAUCGCCAUCACACUGCACACUUCCCUAUCCCAUCUGGACAAGAGGAAUACCAGACCCUGGGUCUCGACCACGCCCUGUGCAACUGGGUCCUGGAAUUUCUGACGGGCCGCCCCCAGGUGGUGAAGAUAGGAAACAACUUCUCCACCACGCUGAUCCUCAACACUGGGGCCCCACAAGGGUGCGUUCUCAGCCCUCUCCUGUACUCCCUGUUCACUCAUGACUGCGUGGCCAUACACGCCUCCAACUCAAUCAUCAAGUUUGCAGACGACACUACAGUGGUAGGCCUGAUUACCAACAACGACGAGACGGUUUACAGGGAGGAGGUGAGGGCCCUCGGAGUGUGGUGUGAGGAAAAUAACCUCUCACUCAACAUCAAUAAAACAAAGGAGAUGACCGUGGACUACAGGAAACAGCAGAGGGAGCACCCCCCCAUCCACAUCGACGGAACAGUACUGGAGAAGGUGGAAAGUUUUAAGUUCCUCGGUGUACACAUCACGGACAAACUGAAAUGGUCCACCCACACAGACAGCGUGGUGAAGAAGGCGCAACAGCGCCUCUUCAACCUCAGGAGGCUGAAUAAAUUUGGCUUGUCACCUAAAACACUCACAAACUUUUACAGAUGCACAAUCGAGAGCAUCCUGUCGGGCUUUAUCACUGCCUGGUACGGUAAUUGCACUGCCCCCAACCACAAGGCUCCCCAGAGGGUGGUGCGGUCUUGCACAACGCAUCACCGGGGGCAAACUAUCAGCACUCCAGGACACCUACAGCACCCGAUGUCACAGGAAGGCCAAAAAGAUGAUAAAGGACAACAACCACCCGAGCCACUGCCUGUUCACCCCGCUAUCAUCCAGAAGGCGAGGUCAGUACAGGUGCAUCAAAGCUGGGACCGAUAGACUUAAAAAUAGCUUCUAUCUCAAGGCCAUCAGACUCUCAAACAGCCAUCAGUAACAUAGAGAGGCUGCUGCCUUCAUACAGACUCAAAUGUCUGACCACUUAAAUAAAUUGACUUAAUAAAGGUAUCACUAGUCACUUUAAAUAAUGCCACUUUAAUAAUGUUUACAUUUCCUACAUUACUCAUCUCAUAUGUAUAUACUAUAUUCUAUACCAUCUACUGCAUCUUGCCUAUGCCGCAAGCCAUCGC